rnacentral:rRNA from 1 species
CAGAGGUCCCGAGCGUUGCUCGGAUUCACUGGGCGUAAAGGGUGCGUAGGUGGUUGGGCAAGUCUGAUGUGAAAUCUCCGGGCUUAACCCGGAAAUGGCAUUGGAAACUGCCUGGCUAGAGUGUUGGAGGGGGGACUGGAAUUCUCGGUGUAGCAGUGAAAUGCGUAGAUAUCGAGAGGAACACCAGUGGCGAAGGCGAGUCCCUGGACAACGACUGACACUGAGGCACGAAAGCUAGGGGAGCAAACAGGAUUAGAUACCCUGGUAGUCCUAGCCGUAAACGGUGCUUGCUUGCUGUAAAAGGAAUCGACCCCUUUUGUGGCGAAGCCAACGCGAUAAGCAAGCCGCCUGGGAAGUACGGUCGCAAAGAUUA